UUUCCCAGUGCCAAUGAAGCCAAGCAACGAUCUUACUCCAACAGAUGAACAUGGGAUAUUAUUUGACAUUAUGUGAUCUCCGUGACACAUGGGAGGCCAUGGAGAAGUGUAAGGAUUCAGGGUUAGCCAAGUCCAUCGGGGUGUCCAACUUUAACUGCAGGCAGUUGGAGAUGAUCCUGAACAA
rnacentral:sRNA from 1 species